rnacentral:misc_RNA from 1 species
AAAGAACGAAAUGGUGAGAUUAGCAGCUCUGAUACAUCAGAGAGUCCUGGUUCUGCUACUGCAGAAGAAACAAAAUCCACUCCUUCCAGAAGCAGGAGGCAUUCUGUAUCGUAGUCACAAAUGCACAUGAGCUGAACUAGAUUAUGGAUCUCUUGGCUUGUAAAAUUAUCACUUAAUUGACCAUCAGGAAAUUAGAAGAACCCACAUCGUC